GCAAGUCGAGCGGCAGCAGGGAAAGUAGCUUGCUGCUUUUGCCGGCGAGCGGCGGACGGGUGAGUAAUGCCUGGGGAUCUGCCCAGUCGAGGGGGAUAACAGUUGGAAACGACUGCUAAUACCGCCUACGCCCUACGGGGGAAAGGAGGGGACCUUCGGGCCUUUCGCGAUUGGAUGAACCCAGGUGGGAUUAGCUGGUUGGUGGGGUAAUGGCUCACCAAGGCGACGAUCCCUAGCUGGACUGAGAGGAUGAUCAGCCACACUGGAACUGAGACACGGUCCAGACUCCUACGGGAGGCAGCAGUGGGGAAUAUUGCACAAUGGGGGAAACCCUGAUGCAGCCAUGGCGCGUGUGUGAAGAAGGCCUUCGGGUUGUAAAGCACUUUCAGCGAGGAGGAAAGGUUGUUGGCUAGUAUCCAGCGACUGUGACGUUACUCGCAGAAGAAGCACCGGCUAACUCCGUGCCAGCAGCCACGGUAAUACGGAGGGUGCAAGCGUUAAUCAGAAUUACUGGACGUAAAGCGCACGCACGCGGUUGGAUAACUUACAUGUGAAAGCCCCGGGCUCAACCUGGCAAUUGCAUUUGAAACUGUCCAGCUAGAGUCUUGUAUAGGGGGGUAGAAUUCCAGGUGUAGCGGUGAAAUGCGUAAAGAUCUGGAGGAAUACCGGUGGCCAACGCGGCCCCCUGGA
rnacentral:rRNA from 1 species